rnacentral:rRNA from 1 species
UACGUAGGGCGCAAGCGUUGUACGGAAUUAUUGGGCGUAAAGAGCUCGUAGGCGGUUUGUCGCGUCUGCUGUGAAAACCUAAGGCUCAACCUUGGGCUUGCAGUGGGUACGGGCAGACUAGAGUGCGGUAGGGGUGACUGGAAUUCCUGGUGUAGCGGUGGAAUGCGCAGAUAUCAGGAGGAACACCGAUGGCGAAGGCAGGUCACUGGGCCGCAACUGACGCUGAGGAGCGAAAGCAUGGGGAGCGAACAGG